rnacentral:lncRNA from 1 species
UUUCAUACAUUUUAGAAACAAGUUUUUUAUUACUUUUUGCUACAAGACAGAGAUAUGUGACACCUUUGAGUUGCAUAAAACUUUCACUCUUCUACAUUUACACCUACCAGACCUACAACUGUAUUUUUUACACUAACAAUGCACAAAUCUUUUCCCUUCCCCCACUUAAGGAUAUCUUACGGACCAUCUCUCUAGCACUCAUAUCACUCAUUGGGACUUCAGACAUAUUUAAAGUUGCAUUUGCAAGAAAUUGAACCGGGUCUAUACUCAAGUAUUCCUUUAUUUGUCCAACUAAGUCUUCAGUUCCAAUUUUGUUGCCGCCAUAUGUUCAUUCACAUUCAUCACCAAGCCUGUUAUGUUUUUCACAUAUGGGCAGGGCCCAUAUCAAUGGACUGAAUGUGAAUGAUAACGUUUUCGCCUCAGUAGAGAACAGUUUAUCUAGUUUUUGAGUUUUUUGUCAAGGCAUGGGCUUGUACCUGCUGGCCAGAAAGCGUCACCUUUCGUGCACGCUUGAUGUCAGUAUUUUUAAUUUCAGAUAAACCCUCACUGGUAUUGACAGCAGGAAUAUCACCACCAGAAAGCACCCUCUUUCGAGGAAGUAUACCAGUAGAUUUCAUGCUGAUACUUCCUCACUAACCAUGUUCGCAUCAAUUCAUUACCAUUGUUUCUGUUUCUAACUCAUUUGUUCGUUCAUUGGUGUCUGCUGAAUCAUGACCAUUCAAUUAAUCAUCAGUUUCAAUGUUUGUGAAAGUAAUAAUGUCCGUCUCUGAAAUUGUUUUCAGUUUCGAUUUCUGUGUCUGUAUUAUGUUCUGUCUCGGUAAAAAAGGGUUUUCACUGUCAGUGUUAUUGGUUACAGAACUUGCUUCAAAUAUUGCUUCUAAGUCUUCUUCUGUUUGUAUACCAGGUAAUA